GACUGCCGAUUGGUCAAUCCCAACGUCUGCCUUCGGGAGGCGCCGGCUGAUUGGUUGUGAGUGUGUUUCAAAUCCGGUAAACGGCUGGAGCGUGCGAACGUCGGCGGAGUGCCCGGAUGUGGGCUUGAGGAGGCGUGGCUCUGCAGCGCCUCUGGAUGCAGCAGGUGUUUCUGUGGUUACCGCUUGUUUACUCCGUAAACAGCCCAGUUCCUGAUGAACGGUCUCUCUGCCAUCACCUCCAACUUCAAGAAAAAGUACCAAGCACCGCAAACCGAUCCGCUCUUACUACUAACCAGAUUUUAUUUUUGAAGACAAGCUUGCAUCUGAGUAAUUAAUAUAAAAAAGUGUAUAAGGAGAUUUUAGAAUCUCCUGAAGCAAAACUGCUUCUGGGAGGAGGCCAGAUCCCCAGAGACUGGAAUUACAGAGAAUGAUGAACCACCAGGUGGGUGCUGGAAAUCAAACUCACGGCCUAUGUGUGAGAAACAAACGCUUUAAACCACUGAGCCAACUCACUUUAAGCCCAAAAUCUACUUUAAAACCAAAAGAACUUCUUGACAGCCUAAGCAGUUCGACAAGUCUACGAGGCAGUAGAAACAAGAGAAGAUCAAGACUGGACCGUGAAGCACCAGGAACUGACUAAGGUGCAUAAUUUACCCACCAAAGCAGAGCUGGCCUCCAGGUUCCCCAGCGCCCCCCUCAGUCCCUACCUGGCAUACCCUGCCCCCAACAGGGAACUUUCCAGCCCAGGUGCUUGUCCGCCCUCCCCCAAGAGUCUCCUCCCAAUAUAAUCCAGACAUUUAGUCUCUGCCCUUCUCUCUCUUCCUCUCCUUCUCUUCUUUCUCCUCCAAUGCUCCCUUUUGCUCCCCUACCCCCACCCCCAUGGCAAUCCCAUGGCCUCAAUCCCUGGGGUCAGUGAACCUGCCCGCCUGAGAGUAGCAUCCCAAU
rnacentral:lncRNA from 1 species